rnacentral:rRNA from 1 species
CGGGCAUAACUGGGCACCAAACGGACGCUGGAGGCUCGAAAAGUGUGGGUAGCAAAACAGGAUAAGAUACCCUGGUAGUCCACACCGUAAACGAUGAUUACUAGUUGUUGGAGGAUUGACCCCUUCAGUGCCGCAGUUAACACAAUAAGUAAUCCACCUGGGGAGUACGACCGCAAGGUUGAAACUCAAAGGAAUUGACGGGGGCCCGCACAAGCAGUGGAGUAUGUGGUUUAAUUCGACGCAACGCGAAGAACCUUACCAAGUCUUGACAUCCCUUGACAGGCAUAGAAAUAUGUUUUCUCUUCGGAGCAAGGAGACAGGUGGUGCAUGGUNGUCGUCAGCUCGUGUCGUGAGAUGUUGGGUUAAGUCCCGCAACGAGCGCAACCCUUAUGGUCAGUUACUACGCAAGAGGACUCUGGCCAGACUGCCGUUGACAAAACGGAGGAAGGUGGGGAUGACGUCAAAUCAUCAUGCCCUUUAUGACUUGGGCUACACACGUACUACAAUGGCGUUAAACAAAGAGAAGCAAGACCGCGAGGUGGAGCAAAACUCAGAAACAACGUCCCAGUUCGGACUGCAGGCUGCAACUCGCCUGCACGAAGUCGGAAUUGCUAGUAAUCGUGGAUCAGCAUGCCACGGUGAAUACGUUCCCGGGCCUUGUACACACCGCCCGUCACACCAUGAGAGCCGGGGGGACCCGAAGUCGGUAGUCUAACCGCAAGGAGGACGCCGCCGAAGGUAAAACUGGUGAUUGGGGUGAAGUCGUAACAAGGUAGCCGUAGGAGAACCUGCGGCUG